AUGGGGAGGAAGUGAGGACAACGUCCCGGGCCAGCGUUGGGUCCCUGAAGCCAGGGAAAAUGGUGUUACUGACGAUGAUCGCCCGAGUGGCAGACGGGCUUCCACUGGCCGCCUCCAUGCAGGAGGACGAACAGUCUGGCCGGGACCUUCAACAGUAUCAGAGCCAGGCUAAGCAACUCUUUCGAAAGUUGAAUGAACACUCCCCUACCAGGUGUACCUUGGAAGCAGGAGCAAUGACUUUUCACUAUAUUAUUGAGCAGGGAGUGUAUUAUCUGGUUUUAUGUGAAGCUGCCUUCCCUAAGAAGUUGGCUUUUGCCUACCUAGAAGAUUUGCACUCAGAAUUUGAUGAACAGCAUGGGAAAAAGGUGCCUACUGUGUCUAGACCUUACUCCUUUAUUGAGUUUGAUACCUUCAUUCAGAAAACCAAGAAGCUGUACAUUGACAGUCGUGUUCGGAGAAACCUAGGCUCUAUCAACACUGAAUUGCAAGAUGUGCAGAGAAUCAUGGUGGCCAAUAUUGAAGAAGUGUUACAACGAGGAGAAGCACUCUCAGCAUUGCAUUCAAAGGCCAACAAUUUGUCCAGUCUGUCUAAGAAAUACCGCCAGGAUGCGAAGUACUUGAACAUGCGUUCCACUUAUGCCAAACUUGCCGCAGUAGCUGUAUUUUUCAUCAUGUUAAUAGUGUAUGUGCGAUUCUGGUGGCUGUGAAGUAGUGAAUCCAGUCAUUGAUAAGGGAGAACCUAGAACCUGGCAGGURUAAGUUUUCAGGAAGCUGAGCUCACAGAAAUGUGUAUUAGAAUCCAAGUGGAACUUCUGCCUCUAAAGACCUUGCAAGAAAAGACAUCCUGAAAAUGAAAGAGUACGCCUCAUUUAAUGAAGCUUAACCCUUUGUGGAAAGUCUCUUUUGGGGGCAGAGGCUUUCUCUGGGUGCUAAGCCAUAUAUGUUAGGGAACAGUAGAUUGUUUUAUUGUUUUUUUCCCCUCCCAGUACAUUUUUAACAGCACUGACUGGGCAUUCUCAUUCUCARUGGAGCCAUUAGUGAGAUUUAAGGUAGCCAAUCUGUGCUAGCAAUAUUCUGAAAUUCCUUCAAAGAAGGCAACCCUUUGGGAAGUUCUUUUGACUUUAAUCAACAUUCCUUUUGUUGGUAACAUUUGUGAUUUUCAGUAAUCUGAGUUUUUUCUGCCUUUCAAACAAGACUCCAAGUAUGUGAAGGUUAAUUACUGUGCUGCACCAAUCCUGUCUGUUGGCCCCUAUAGGAAUUAACCUUUGUUGUUUUCCUUUUAUGAUAUUUUUGCUUGUUGCACAAUUGCUGUAGGGUUAAAUGAAUUAUAUUAAGAUGCCUUGAAAUUAUAAAGCACUUCUUGAUUAA